CGUGGCCUAUGUGAAUGUGGGCUGUUAUUAUGCAUUUGGUGUCCCUUUGGGACUCCUAAUGGGCUUCCUGCUUGAUUGGGGUGUUACGGGAAUAUGGUUUGGGAUGAUUGGCGGAACCAUAUUACAGACUAGCAUUUUGACAUGGAUGGUUCGUAGAACCAACUGGAACACAGAGGCGUCUGUGGCUGAGGAUAGAAUAACAAAAUGGUGAGGACCCUCUAUU